rnacentral:lncRNA from 1 species
CUCCUCGCUUUCCUCCACCCGAGCCCCGCCGGCUGCUCCUUGGGAGGAAGGGGACUCGCUAGACCAGGCCGAGGCCCAGCCUCAGAAGUUAGCAUUUUCAAGACCUGGCAUCCGCAGCGUUUCUGUCGCGGGGACUUCUCUCUUCGGCUCUGAGGUCUCCGCGCGCAGGACCCAGGGCAGCUCUUGGUCUUACGCGUGGCUGUGAGCUGGGCUCACGCUGCUUGGCGCAUCCACCCCUCGAUUGACGCGCGGAGAAGCAUUUUUCAAUUUUUCUUUCAGCUUCCCUGAUUUCAAACAAACAUCUGAUUUAAGAAGGUGAGGACUCCAAAGAAGAUCCAAACGCAAGAUUAGGAAGAUUCACGUUUCCACUACUUCUUCCAAUACAUUUCACUAAUCUUUCUA